ACUAAAUAGAUACCCGGGUAGUCCACGCCCUAAACGAUGUCGACUAGGUGUUCGGUGAGGAGACUCAUUGAGUACCGCAGCUAAACGCGUGAAGUCGACCGCCUGGGGAGUACGGUCGCAAGAUUAAAACUCAAAGGAAUUGACGGGGACCCGCACAAGCGGUGGAUGAUGUGGAUUAAUUCGAUGCAACGCGAAAAACCUUACCUACCCUUGACAUGUACGGAACCCUGCUGAGAGGUGGGGGUGCUCGAAAGAGAGCCGUAACACAGGUGCUGCAUGGCUGUCGUCAGCUCGUGUCGUGAGAUGUUGGGUUAAGUCCCGCAACGAGCGCAACCCUUGUCAUUAGUUGCUACGCAAGAGCACUCUAAUGAGACUGCCGGUGACAAACCGGAGGAAGGUGGGGAUGACGUCAAGUCCUCAUGGCCCUUAUGGGUAGGGCUUCACACGUCAUACAAUGGUCGGUACAGAGGGUUGCCAAGCCGCGAGGUGGAGCCAAUCCCAGAAAGCCGAUCGUAGUCCGGAUCGCAGUCUGC
rnacentral:rRNA from 1 species